rnacentral:rRNA from 1 species
CACGUAGGGGGCAAGCGUUGUCCGGAUUUAUUGGGCGUAAAGAGCUCGUAGGCGGUUCGGUAAGUCGGGUGUGAAACCUCCAGGCUCAACCUGGAGACGCCACCUGAUACUGCUGUGACUCGAGUCCGGUAGGGGAACACGGAAUUCCUGGUGUAGCGGUGAAAUGCGCAGAUAUCAGGAGGAACACCGAUGGCGAAGGCAGGUCUCUGGGCCGAUACUGACGCUGAGGAGCGAAAGCGUGGGGAGCGAACAGG